GAUGAAGAACGCAGCGAAAUGCGAUAAGUAAUGUGAAUUGCAGAAUUCAGUGAAUCAUCGAAUCUUUGAACGCACCUUGCGCUCCUUGGUAUUCCGAGGAGCAUGCCUGUUUGAGUGUCAUUUAAUUCUCAACCCCUUCCAGCUUUGUCUGGUUUGGUGGCUUGGAUGUGGGGGAAAAAAUCCUGCGGGCCUCUUUAGAGGUCGGCUCCCCUGAAAUGCAUUAGCGGAACCGUUUGCGGGUCUGUCAUUGGUGUGAUAAUUAUCUACGCCAAAGACGAUCGCUCUCAGUAGCUCUGCUUCUAAUUGUCCCUUACGUAGGACAACCAUACAUGAACACUUGACCUCAAAUCAGGUAGGACUACCCGCUGAACUUAAGCAUAUCAAUAAGCGGAGGA
rnacentral:misc_RNA from 1 species